rnacentral:siRNA from 1 species
AUUACGGACCCAAAAUUACUUGUU